CUGCUUCUUCGACACCCUCCUCUUCCUCCUCCACGCCUCCAACCAGCCCAAGUCCUCAUUGUCCGCCGCCCUUCCCACCACCAUUCCCUUCCUCACCCUCCACGCCUCCGCGACCGCCUCUCCUCGCUGCACCUACUCGCUCUUCUCAGUACUUUGGUCGGUCAUUUUGUAUUGGUCCAUGAGUUAUGGAAUGCUCGUAUGGCCAAAAAUAAUUUUAUCAACUCUUGCGAAGUUACAUUCAUAUAGAAUAUUGGCC
rnacentral:lncRNA from 1 species